rnacentral:rRNA from 1 species
GAACAUGUCCUGUAGUGGGGGAUAGCCCGGCGAAAACCGGAUUAAUACCGCAUACGAUCUGAGGAUGAAAGCGGGGGACCUUCGGGCCUCGCGCUAUAGGGUUGGCCGAUGGCUGAUUAGCUAGUUGGUGGGGUAAAGGCCUACCAAGGCGACGAUCAGUAGCUGGUCUGAGAGGACGACCAGCCACACUGGGACUGAGACACGGCCCAGACUCCUACGGGAGGCAGCAGUGGGGAAUUUUGGACAAUGGGCGAAAGCCUGAUCCAGCAAUGCCGCGUGUGUGAAGAAGGCCUUCGGGUUGUAAAGCACUUUUGUCCGGAAAGAAAUCCUUGGUUCUAAUAUAGCCGGGGGAUGACGGUACCGGAAGAAUAAGCACCGGCUAACUACGUGCCAGCAGACGCGGUAAUACGUAGGGUGCAAGCGUUAAUCGGAAUUACUGGGCGUAAAGCGUGCGCAGGCGGUUUGCUAAGACCGAUGUGAAAUCCCCGGGCUCAACCUGGGAACUGCAUUGGUGACUGGCANGCUAGAGUAUGGCAGANGGGGGGUAGAAUUCCACGUGUAGCAGUGAAAUGCGUAGAG